rnacentral:lncRNA from 1 species
AUGAGGCGGUUCAUUCAAUUUGCGGAUGACGGAAGGCGCAUCGGUUAGCUCAAAACAUCUCAAUGAAAUCAAUCAGUCACAACCCAGGUGAGUUCAGUUGAAAUGAAUGUGAUGAGAAGUACGCGCAUUAUUACUUUUGUCCUUCUCUACCGAAAGUUGAAUGCAAUGUCCGGCUGUGAGUAACUCGUCGGGAAGCAAUAAGUUAAAAUUAACAAAUAUUCGUGAUUUGGUUCUCAGUGAAGAGAUCCGACGAGAGAGUCGGCGUGAAUCACAACCCUAUUCAGUUUGCUAUUUAGAGUUUUUUUUUUUCAAGAGGAAGAAAAUUCAACCAGAGGGAAUGGACGUGGCAAAUUGAACGACCGAGGUAGAUCAAAAAGAAAGACAGGAGGUCCAAACUCCAGGAAUCCCCAAUAAUUCCCCAUAGCUCGGAAAGCAGUUUUCGAGUGUUGGAAUUGUGGGAAAAGGACCGGGACACUACAAAAUCAUGCAGGAGGGAGUUACACCAAGGACCAGGGAGGCGAACAGGCAGAGGGCAAAGUGAUGUUACUUCACUCAGAAAAAAGGAUGAUGCGUUGAGUAUUCUCUUUGGAGAGCAAGGAGGUCUUGGGUAUUUAGACUCAGGAGCAUUCAUUCCACGACUUCGCAGAAAGAAAUUUUCGGAGGAGUCCCCGGACACAUUGGAAAUGUAUACCUGGUUGAUGAUCAGCCGUGUGCUAUUAUCGGUGAAAGGUGUAGAAAGAUUAAGUUGAAUGGGUCUAUUUGGGAGCUGGAAGGAGGUCAGGCAUUAUUACCGACCUGAGGAAAGAACUUAAUCUCGUGGCAGUUAGCUACGCGAAGGCUACACUACGAUUUUUCAUGGUGAAAAUUGAAGAUUCAAAGGGUUGCAAUGACGGUUGCUCAACGGCAAAAAGAGUUGUACUAUUACAUGACAGCGGGGAGCACGUUCAAUUGCAGUUGCAGCAGGGAAACGGAAAAAUUCCAAUAUGUGGCACCAGAGGGACUAGGGCCAUAUGAGUGAGAAGGGAUGAAAAUUAUGCCAUUCCAAGGGAAAAAUUUCAGGUCUACAAUCAGUGAGAUAGGACAUUGUGGACGAUUGCAUUACUUGGAAAGCAGAAGGAAGAGGGGUAGCUUCAUGACAAGUGGCAGAACCCCAAAGAAGAAAAAAUGCUGAGCUUGUUCACUCUGAUGUUUGGGGGCCAACGAACCAUUUCAUCCAUUAGUGGAAAAACAAAUACUCGUGACUUUCAUCGAUGAUCAUCUCGAAGGUUAUGGGUUUUACUUCUAAAACUAAGUCAGAAGUGUUUUGUUUGAAGCUUUCAGGGGAGGGGAAAGCUAUGGUUGAAAAUGAGACAAGUCUGAAGAUUAAAAUGCUCAGAAACCGCAAUGGUGGUUGAAUAUGAAGGACCACCAGAUUUCAAGAAGUUUUGCUAUGAGUACGGGAUCAGAAUGGAGAGACCCGUGCCGGGUACGCCUCAACACACUGGGUGCUGAGCGUAUGAAUCGACGUUGACAGAAAGAGCAGAAGCAUUCGAUACAAGUCAGGUCUAAACAAAGCAGUUCUGGGCAGAAAAGAAGCAGUCAACACACAGCCUUUACUUGAUCACCGAGGCCCAUCGGUUCCAUUAGAGCAAGACUACCAGAGGAGGUAUUUUUUGGGAAUGGGAACAGGGGGGCGGAAAAGAGGUUAAAACAUCACAUCUAACAAGUUUUUCGGGUGUGUAGCAUAAUGGCAUAUCGUGAUCAAGGAGUAAAGAAGGAAUAAGCUUGAUUCCAAAUCUAAAGAAAUGCACCUUCAAGCGGCUUAUGGCGAGAUGAAUUGGCUACCGAUUUGGAUGACGAAAACAAAGAAGGUGAUCCGCAGCAGAGAUGUGAUUUUCAACGAAAAGGAAAAGGAAUUGAUGUAACAAGGACAGACAUAAAAAUCGACUCCAAGAGACUCAGAGCAAAGUGAACCAAGCAUUUGCAAAUGUAGAUGAUACGUGUUGGUCCCAGAUAGUCCCGUGGACGGAGGAGCCGAUUGUAGCAAGUUCCUCAGCUAGAGGAAUUCAUGGGACCGAGCAUGUGCGCAGCAGUCCGAACCACCCAACCUCCUACUCCAACUCCUGUAUUGAGAAGGUCUUAGGCCUUCAUGUGCCUUAAUAGGAGAUAUAUGAAUUAUUUGUGUUGACUGAUGGAGGGGAGCCUGAGGCUAGAUGAAGUUGUCAGGGGACUAGGAGAUGAUAGCAAGUGGAGCUUGCCAUGUGAAAGACGAGAUGAAAGUCUCUAAUCGCCAACCCCCACCCCCCCAAAUAGGACAUGGGAACAGUGAGUUACCCGUGGGGGAAGGAAGGCACUUCACAAAAUAGAUUGUAACCGGGUGAAUUGGAAAGAAGAGCCUGAUGGUUCUAAGAGAUACAAAGCCCGACUAGUCGUCAAAGGAUUACCGCAGAAGGAGGAGUUGAACUUUACACGACAUUUUUUGCUCCAGUUGUGAAGCUCAAUACUAUCAGAACAGUAUGAG